AGUGAACGCUGGCGGUAGGCCUAACACAUGCAGGUCGAACGGCAGCACAGUAAGAGCUUGCUCUUACGGGUGGCGAGUGGCGGACGGGUGAGGAAUACAUCGGAAUCUACUUUUUCGUGGGGGAUAACGUAGGGAAACUUACGCUAAUACCGCAUACGACCUACGGGUGAAAGCAGGGGAUCUUCGGACCUUGCGCGAUUGAAUGAGCCGAUGUCGGAUUAGCUAGUUGGCGGGGUAAAGGCCCACCAAGGCGACGAUCGUUAGCUGGUCUGAGAGGAUGAUCAGCAACACUGGAACUGAGACACGGUCCAGGCUCCUACGGGAGGCAGCAGUGGGGAAUAUUGGACAAUGGGCGCAAGCCUGAUCCAGCCAUACCGCGUGGGUGAAGAAGGCCUUCGGGUUGUAAAGCCCUUUUGUUGGGAAAGAAAAGCAGCAGGUUAAUACCCCGCUGUUCUGACGGUACCCAAAGAAUAAGCACCGGCUAACUUCGUG
rnacentral:rRNA from 1 species